ACACGGUUAACACAGUUAACUUAAAUAUAUAAAUGUUCGCCAAAUAUCUCAGAUCUGCAAGAGGUUAAAUUCCUGACAGGAAGAAUCACUUGGACUGUACCAAAAUACUGACUAAAAGUGCAGAAUAUACCUUUGAAUGUUUUACUGUUAAUUAUGUUCUAGUUAAGAAAUAAAUAGUUCUAACAGAGCAGCUAACUUCUGUGUGAAAGAUCAUAGCCACACUCUAAACAGAAUCUUUACCAGACCAUAAUCCUUAAUGGACUUUCCCUUACCCCCUGUCUAUAUCCUACCAUUUGGUCUGGUCCCUCCUCAGUGCUUUAGUUCCACAGAAGAGGUGGGCUGGUGGCCUGUGAUGUACCUGAAAUUGGCAGCGUUCUCCUUACUGUUUUACAGGUCCCCAGCAGACAGUGCCAAUCAAUAAAGCAUUGUAAAGUUA